GCUCACUUUGUCAGCCCACUUACAAAAAUUGAACGAUACAAGAGAAUAUUAACAUGGUCCAUGUACAAAGGAUGACACACAAAUUCGUGUGUCCAUAUUUUU